rnacentral:rRNA from 1 species
GUGUCAGCAGCCGCGGUAAUACGGAGGGUGCGAGCGUUAAUCGGAAUUACUGGGCGUAAAGCGCGCGUAUGUGGUCUGAUAAGUCGGAUGUGAAAGCCCCGAGCUUAACUUGGGAACGGCAUUCGAUACUGUCUGACUAGAGUAUGGUAGAGGAAAGCGGAAUUCCCGGUGUAGCGGUGAAAUGCGUAGAUAUCGGGAGGAACAUCAGUGGCGAAGGCGGCUUUCUGGACUAAUACUGACACUGAGGCGCGAAAGCGUGGGUAGCAAACAGGAUUAGAUACCCCUGUAGUCC